ensembl:snoRNA small nucleolar RNA SNORA25
AGGUCAUUCAAAGAGAGCUUGUGGAACUAAAGCCAAGAGAUCUUAAUGCUAUGACUGAACAUUGAAGUUCUCCAUAGGAUGUAAUAGGCAAUUAAUAGUGCUGUGUUUUACUAAGGAGACAUAAGA